UACGAAGGGAGCUAGCGUUGUUCGGAAUCACUGGGCGUAAAGCGCACGUAGGCGGAUGUGUCAGUCAGGGGUGAAAUCCCGGAGCUCAACUUCGGAACUGCCUUUGAUACAGCACGUCUUGAGUCCGAUAGAGGUGGGUGGAAUUCCUAGUGUAGAGGUGAAAUUCGUAGAUAUUAGGAAGAACACCGGUGGCGAAGGCGGCUCACUGGCUCAUUACUGACGCUCAGGCGCGAUAGCGUGGGGAUCAAACAGG
rnacentral:rRNA from 1 species